rnacentral:rRNA from 1 species
ACGCUGGCGGCGUGCCUAACACAUGCAAGUCGAACGGAGUUAGAUAAAAGCUUGCUUUUAUUUGACUUAGUGGCGGACGGGUGAGUAACACGUGGGUAACCUGCCCUAGACACAGGGNAUAACAAUGAGAAAUCAUUGCUAAUACCCGAUAAGCUUACGGUAACACAAGUUACAGUAAGAAAAGAUUUAUCGGUUUAGGAUGGGCCCGCGUCUGAUUAGCUAGUUGGUGAGGUAAUGGCUCACCAAGGCGACGAUCAGUAGCCGACCUGAGAGGGUGAUCGGCCACAUUGGGACUGAGACACGGCCCAAACUCCUACGGGAGGCAGCAGUGGGGAAUAUUGCACAAUGGGGGAAACCCUGAUGCAGCAACGCCGCGUGAAGGAAGAAGGUUUUCGGAUCGUAAACUACUAUCGAUGGGGAAGAAUAAAUGACGGUACCCAAGUAAGAAGCCCCGGCUAACUACGUGCCAGCAGCCGCGGUAAUACGUAGGGGGCAAGCGUUAUCCGGAAUUACUGGGUGUAAAGGGUGAGUAGGUUGGCUUGUAAGUCAUAUGUGAAAUACCGAUGCUUAACAUCGGGGCGGGAGUACGGCCGCAAGGCUGAAACUCAAAAGAAUUGACGGGGGCCCGCACAAGCGGUGGAGCAUGUGGUUUAAUUCGAAGCAACGCGAAGAACCUUACCCAAGGCUUGACAUCCUUCUCGAUACUCUAGAAAUAGAGUAGCCCUUCGGGGGAGAAGUGAACAGGUGGUGCAUGGUUGUCGUCAGCUCGUGUCGUGAGAUGUUGGGUUAAGUCCCGCAACGAGCGCAACCCUUAUCUUUAGUAGCUAGCAGGUAAUGCUGAGCACUCUAGAGAGACUGCCAUGAAUAACAUGGAGGAAGGUGGGGACGACGUCAAAUCAGCACGGCCCUUACGUCCGGGGCGACACACGUGUUACAAUGGAUGGUACAAAGGGUUGCGACAUAGUGAUAUGAAGCCAAUCUCAAAAAGCCAUUCUCAGUUCGGAUCGCAGGCUGAAACUCGCCUGCGUGAAGUUGGAUUCGCUAGUAAUCGUAUAUCCGCCAUGAUACGGUGAAUACGUUCCCGGGCCUUGUACACACCGCCCGUCAAGCCAUGGAAGUUGGGGGUGCACUGAAGUACGUGUGCGUCAAGCAGCGUCCUAGGGCAAA